GACGAACGCUGGCGGCGUGCUUAACACAUGCAAGUCGAACGGAAAGGCCCUGCUUGCAGGGUGCUCGAGUGGCGAACGGGUGAGUAACACGUGGGUGAUCUGCCCCUUACUUUGGGAUAAGCCUGGGAAACUGGGUCUAAUACUGGAUAGGACCAUGCUGUAGGUGGUGUGGUGGAAAGAUUAGUUUCGGUAAGGGAUGAGCUCGCGGCCUAUCAGCUUGUUGGUGGGGUAAUGGCCUACCAAGGCGUCGACGGGUAGCCGGCCUGAGGGGGUGGACGGCCACAUUGGGACUGGGAUACGGCCCAGACUCCUACGGGAGGCAGCAGUGGGGAAUAUUGCACAAUGGGCGCAAGCCUGAUGCAGCGACGCCGCGUGGGGGAUGACGGCCUUCGGGUUGUAAACUCCUUUCAGCCAUGACGAAGCCCUUGUGGUGACGGUAGUGGUAGAAGAAGCACCGGCUAACUACGUG
rnacentral:rRNA from 1 species